AUUGAACGCUGGCGGCAGGCCUAACACAUGCAAGUCGAACGAGUGGCGGCCGGGUGAGUAAUGUCUGGGAAACUGCCUGAUGGUGGGGGAUAACUACUGGAAACGGUAGCUAAUACCGCAUACCAUCAGAUGUGCCCAGAUGGGCUUGGCUGGUGGGUGGGGUAACGGCUCACCAAGGCGACGAUCCCUAGCUGGGCUGAGAGGAGGACCAGCCACAUUGGAACUGGGAUAUGGUCACGCGCCCGCAGGGAGGCAGCAGUGGGGAAUUGUGCGCAAUGGGCGCAAGCCUGAUGCAGCCAUGCAGCGUGGAUGAAGAGGGCCGUGGGGUUGUAAAGCACUGUCAGCGGGGAGGCGUUAGCCGGAGAAGAAGUACCGGGUAACGACGUGCCAGCAGCCGCGGUAAUUC
rnacentral:rRNA from 1 species